rnacentral:lncRNA from 1 species
GAUGGCCAAUGAGAAGCAGAAUCAAAGCUUCUGUUUGUCACAUGAGGUGUCCUUCUUUAGGUAAUAGUUCAUUCUUUCCUGUGCUUGAAUUUAAGUAGAUAAAUGUGAAUUCUAAUUGGUCUUAAAGGACCUCCAGAUCAUAAUGAACAAUUCUAUCCGUCAUUACCAAAUUUGUAUAUGGAAAUUAGCGUUCCAUGGGAAUAGAAUAAUCCUGGCUCUUGUUUGCUCUUUUUCAGAACAUGCAGCGUUGGACACUGUGCUUGGUGACAUGAAGAGAACGAGAAGGUUGUCACUGGCUGUACAGGCUUGGCCAGGACUGACCCGAACAGAGACUGAGGUCAAGAAAAGAGAGAACUGGUGAUGGUGUUUGACUGUGUGAAGCCACAUCACAGUCCUGUCUGCAUGGACCAGUCUGAGUCUGCUGGCGUGGAUGGCAGGAUAUUCUCUCCAGUUACAGGGUUUAACUACAGAGCUACCCCACGCCUGAGGCCAGGGGCAGCGGCCGGGAGGAGUAACCCCAUGUCCAAGGAGCGGUGGCUGUGCGGGCGCAGGAGGGCCGAGAAGAACUACUCCACGUCAAAGUCAGGAGGGGUGGUGGUGAGGAGAUACUCCUCGUCCAAGGUAAGGAGAAGCGGCUGUGCUUUGCUGGAGCAGCCGUGAAGAGAUACCCCAUGUCCAAGGUAAGAGAAACCCAAGUAAGACAGUAGGUGUUGCGAGAGGGCAUCAGAGGGCAGACACACUGAAACCAUAGUCACAGAACGCUAGUCAAUCUGAUCACACGGACCGCAGCCUUGUCUAACUCAAGGAAACUAAGCCAUACCAUGUGGGGCCACCCAAGAUGGAUGGGUCAUGGUGGAGAGGUCUGACAGAAUGUGGUCCACUGGAGAAGGGAAUGAAACCACUUCAGUAUUCUUGCCUUGAGAACCCCAUGAUCAGUAUGAAAAGGCAAAAUAAUAGAAUACUGAAAGAGGAACUCCCCAGGUCGGUAGGUGCCCAAUAUGCUACUGGAAAUCAGUGGAGAAAUAACUACAGAAAGAAGGAAGGGAUGGAGCCAAAGCAAAAACAAAACCCAGUUGUGGAUGUGACUGGUGACAGAAGCAAGGGCUGAUGCCGUAAAGAGCAGUAUUGCAUAGGAACCUGGAAUGUUAGGUCCAUGAAUCAAGGCAAAUUGGAAGUGGUCAAGCAGGAGAUGGCAAGAGUGAACGUUGACAUUCUAGGAAUCAGCGAACUAAAAUGGACUGGAAUGGGUGAAUUUAACUCAGAUGACCAUUAUAUCUACUACGGUGUGCAGGAAUCCCUCAGAAGAAAUAGAGUAGCCAUCAUGGUCAACAAAAGAGUCUGAAAUGCAGUACUUGGAUGCAAUCUCAAAAACGACAUGAUGAUCUCUGUUCAUUUCCAAGGCAAACCAUCCAAUAUCAUAGUAAUCCAAGUCUAUGCCCCAACCAGUAAUGCUGAGGAGCUGAAGUUGAAUGGUUCUAUGAAGACCUACAAGACCUUUUAGAACUAACACCCAAAAAAGAUGUCCUUUUCAUUAUAGUGGACCGGAAUGCAAAAGUAGGAGGUCAAGAAACACCUGGACUAGCAGGCAAAUUUGGCCUUGGAAUACAAAAUGAAGCAUGUCAAAGGCUAAGAGAGUUUUGCCAAGAGAACACACUGGUCG